rnacentral:rRNA from 1 species
CCUACGGGAGGCAGCAGUGAGGAAUAUUGGUCAAUGGGCGAGAGCCUGAACCAGCCAAGUCGCGUGAGGGAGUACUGCCCUAUGGGUUGUAAACCUCUUUUGUCGGGGAGCAAAAGCCGGACGUGUCCGGCUGUGAGAGUACCCGAAGAAAAAGCAUCGGCUAAAUCCGUGCCAGCAGCCGCGGUAAUACGGAGGAUGCGAGCGUUAGCCGGAUUGAUUGGGUUUAAAGGGUGCGCAGGCGGAUUUUUAAGUCAGCGGUCAAAUCGUGGGGCUAAACCCCAUCCAGCCGUUGAAACUGGGGAUCUAGAGUGUGCGAGAGGUAUGCGGAAUGCGUGGUGUAGCGGUGAAAUGCAUAGAUAUCACGCAGAACCCUGAUGGCGAAGGCAGGAUACCGGUGCACAACUGACGCUCAGGCACGAAAGCGUGGGUAGCGAACAGGAUUAGAUACCCCAGUAGUC